rnacentral:rRNA from 1 species
GAUGACGGUACCUNAAGAAUAAGCACCGGCUAACUACGUGCCAGCAGCCGCGGUAAUACGUAGGGUGCAAGCGUUAAUCGGAAUUACUGGGCGUAAAGCGUGCGCAGGCGGUUAUAUAAGACAGAUGUGAAAUCCCCGGGCUCAACCUGGGAACUGCCUUUGUGACUGUAUAGCUUGAGUGCGGCAGAGGGGGAUGGAAUUCCGCGUGUAGCAGUGAAAUGCGUAGAUAUGCGGAGGAACACCGAUGGCGAAGGCAAUCCCCUGGGCCUGCACUGACGCUCAUGCACGAAAGCGUGGGGAGCAAACAGGAUUAGAUACCCUGGUAGUCCACGCCCUAAACGAUGUCAACUGGUUGUUGGG